AAAACAUCGCCUCUUGCAAAAUAAUGAAUAAGAGGUCCCGCCUGCCCUGUGACUCUAAGUUUAACGGCCGCGGUAUUUUGACCGUGCGAAGGUAGCGCAAUCACUUGUCUUUUAAAUGGAGACCUGUAUGAAUGGCAUAACGAGGGCUUAGCUGUCUCCUUUCUCUAGUCAAUGAAAUUGAUCUCCCCGUGCAGAAGCGGGGAUAGAACCAUAAGACGAGAAGACCCUAUGGAGCUUUAGACGCCAAGACAGACCAUGUUAAACACCUCCCCAUAAGGAGCCCAAACCAAAUGGUCCCUGCCCUAGUGUCUUUGGUUGGGGCGACCGCGGGGAAACAUAAAACCCCCAUGUGGAAUGGGAGCACCCUCUCCUACAACUAAGAGCUACAGCUCUAAUGAACAGAAUUUCUGACCAACAAGAUCCGGCAAUGCCGAUCAACGGACCGAGUUACCCUAGGGAUAACAGCGCAAUCCCCUUUUAGAGCCCAUAUCGACAAGGGGGUUUACGACCUCGAUGUUGGAUCAGGACAUCCUAAUGGUGCAGCCGCUAUUAAGGGUUCGUUUGUUCAACGAUUAAAGUCCUACGUG
rnacentral:rRNA from 1 species